rnacentral:tRNA from 1 species
GUGGUAGCUCAGUGGUAGGGCACUUACCUCACAUGUGUGAGGCCCUGGGUUUGAUCCCCAGCACA